GACGAACGCUGGCGGCGUGCUUAACACAUGCAAGUCGAACGGAAAGGCCCUGCUUUUGUGGGGUGCUCGAGUGGCGAACGGGUGAGUAACACGUGAGUAACCUGCCCUUGACUUUGGGAUAACUUCAGGAAACUGGGGCUAAUACCGGAUAGGAGCUCCUGCUGCAUGGUGGGGGUUGGAAAGUUUCGGCGGUUGGGGAUGGACUCGCGGCUUAUCAGCUUGUUGGUGGGGUAGUGGCUUACCAAGGCUUUGACGGGUAGCCGGCCUGAGAGGGUGACCGGCCACAUUGGGACUGAGAUACGGCCCAGACUCCUACGGGAGGCAGCAGUGGGGAAUAUUGCACAAUGGGCGGAAGCCUGAUGCAGCAACGCCGCGUGCGGGAUGACGGCCUUCGGGUUGUAAACCGCUUUCGCCUGUGACGAAGCGUGAGUGACGGUAAUGGGUAAAGAAGCACCGGCUAACUACGUGCCAGCAGCCGCGGUGAUACGUAGGGUGCGAGCGUUGUCCGGAUUUAUUGGGCGUAAAGGGCUCGUAGGUGGUUGAUCGCGUCGGAAGUGUAAUCUUGGGGCUUAACCCUGAGCGUGCUUUCGAUACGGGUUGACUUGAGGAAGGUAGGGGAGAAUGGAAUUCCUGGUGGAGCGGUGGAAUGCGCAGAUAUCAGGAGGAACACCAGUGGCGAAGGCGGUUCUCUGGGCCUUUCCUGACGCUGAGGAGCGAAAGCGUGGGGAGCGAACAGGCUUAGAUACCCUGGUAGUCCACGCUGUAAACGGUGGGUACUAGGUGUGGGGUCCAUUCCACGGGUUCCGUGCCGUAGCUAACGCUUUAAGUACCCCGCCUGGGGAGUACGGCCGCAAGGCUAAAACUCAAAGGAAUUGACGGGGCCCCGCACAAGCGGCGGAGCAUGCGGAUUAAUUCGAUGCAACGCGUAGAACCUUACCUGGGUUUGACAUGGAUCGGGAGUGCUCAGAGAUGGGUGUGCCUCUUUUGGGGUCGGUUCACAGGUGGUGCAUGGCUGUCGUCAGCUCGUGUCGUGAGAUGUUGGGUUAAGUCCCGCAACGAGCGCAACCCUUGUUCACUGUUGCCAGCACGUUAUGGUGGGGACUCAGUGGAGACCGACGGGGUCAACUCGGAGGAAGGUGGGGAUGACGUCAAGUCAUCAUGCCCCUUAUGUCCAGGGCUUCACGCAUGCUACAAUGGCUGGUACAGAGAGUGGCGAGCCUGUGAGGGUGAGCGAAUCUCGGAAAGCCGGUCUCAGUUCGGAUUGGGGUCUGCAACUCGACCUCAUGAAGUCGGAGUCGCUAGUAAUCGCAGAUCAGCAACGCUGCGGUGAAUACGUUCCCGGG
rnacentral:rRNA from 1 species